rnacentral:rRNA from 1 species
UACGUAGGGUGCGAGCGUUAAUCGGAAUUACUGGGCGUAAAGCGUGCGCAGGCGGUGAUGUAAGACCGAUGUGAAAUCCCCGGGCUUAACCUGGGAACUGCAUUGGUGACUGCAUUGCUGGAGUAUGGCAGAGGGGGGUGGAAUUCCACGUGUAGCAGUGAAAUGCGUAGAUAUCAAGAGGAACACCUGAGGUGAAGACGGGUUGCUGGGCUGACACUGACGCUGAGGCGCGAAAGCCAGGGGAGCAAACGGG